GGUCUCCUCCUACAGGGACGCGCAGCCCGGGACCGCCACGCGCAGCGCGGGAGGGGGAGGGCGGGACCGGGGAACAGGAGGGGAGGGGGACCCGGGUGCUUCCAGCGGUCCGGGCCCGCGGACGGAGUGCGGGCCGAUCCCGCUCACUGUCCCCUUCCGCAGUCCGCGUGCAGCUCCAGGGAGCUGUCCGCCCCGGUGGUUCUGAACCAGGCGCCGCCGAAACGCUCCAGAUGCAGCACUGCCCUCCGGAGCUGUUGAAGAGGAGCAGGUGUUUGCAGAGACUCACAAAAAGGCCCGGCCCCAGUUGAAAGACCAGCCUUGCACUACUUUAUAAGAUGCUGCCAAUGCAGAAUUGUUCAUGAAGCACAUAGAGCUUUUCUACCUCAGCACAAACAGCAUUCACUCUUCAGGUCACUCAUCCAGGCCUGCAAGAGACGGUGAAGCAGGUUUAUUCUCCAGGCCACUUAAGUCAUCUAAAGUAUCCCCUUUUUGGGCAGAAACAGGUGACAUUAAGAGAAACUUGAAAAAAUGUAGAGUGUGGGAUCUUCGAAAGAUUGGAUAGCUCUGGCCUCCUCCUCUCCCAGCCACCCCCCACUCCCAGGCCCAAGUGUCUGCUCCACCAACAUAAAUCAGUGUUGAAAUAUAAAGAUUGAGCUGGGCGCAGUGGCUCACGCCUGUAAUCCCAGCACUUUGGGAGGCCGAGGUGGGUGGAUCACUUGAGGUCAGGAGUUGGAGACCAGCCUGGCCGACAUGGGGAAACCCCAUCUCUACUAAAAAUACAAAAAAGUAGCUGGACGUGGUGGCAUGUACCUAUAAUCCCAGUUUCUUUGGAGGCUGAGGCAGGAGAAUCAGUGGAACCCAGGAGGUGGAGGUUGCAGGGAGCUGAGAUUGUGCCACUGCACUCCAGCCUGGGUGACAGAGUGAGACCUCCGUCCCAAAAAGAAAGAAAGAAAGAAAUAUAAAGAUCUAUGCAUUCCUAAAUCUGUUUGUUCCAGAGACUUUCCAAGGAUCAAAGCAAGAGUAAACUAAAGGUAAACCUGAGAAUGGAGAACAAAGUUACUCUGUUUCAUCAUUAUCACCUCCCUUACACUCCUGGAGGUCAGCAGUCCAAAAUCAGGUCCCCUACACUAACUUCAAGGUGUCUGCAGGGCUGGUUCCAUCUGGAGACUCUAGGGGAGAACCCAUUUCCUUGCUGUUUCCAGCUCCUGGUGGCCACCUGCAUUCCUUGGCUUGUGGCCCCUUCCUCCAUCUUCAAAGUGCAUCACCCAAUCUCUGCUCCCUCACCACAUCACCGUCUCCCCUUCUGUAGUCAAAUGUUCCUCUGUCUCCUUUUUAUAAGCAUUCUUAUUAUCAUAUUUAUGGCCCACGAGGAUAAUCCAGGAUAAUCCCCCAUCUCAAGAUUCUUAAUCAUGUCCACAAAGUUCCCUUUGCCAUGUAAGGUCUUAUUCACAGGUUCCAGGGAUUAGGAUGUAGACACUCUAGAGGGUCAUUAUUAACUCACCACACAAGUAUUCGAGAAUUUUCUCUGUAUUCUGGCUUUAUCAUUUGUUUUGAUUAAAGAAUAUAUAUUUAAAAUAUGCUUUUAUCUUAAAUAUAAUUUCUAUCUUUCACAUUUAUGACUGUUCUCAUACAACUGAGGUUUUGUGGUAUAUAUAAAAUGAUCUUUGACCAAUCUUAUUAAUUCCCAAGGCUCAGCCCUGGGAUUUAGGGAUUUGAUUAAGACCUAUUUCCAGGGAAACUGCUGAUGGCUGCCUUCUCUGGAUUUCCCGCCAAAUCUCCAUGCUCCCUCUGCCUGGGAAUUGUUUUCCAGUCUUGACUGAUUAUAUUUUUUUUAUAUAGAGAAGGGGGAUCUUGCUACAUUGUCCAGACUGGACUUGAACUCCUGGCUCAAGCAAUUAUCCUAACUCAGCCUCCAGAGUAGCAGGGACUACAGGCGUGUCUCACCACACCCAGCAAGACAAAUUUCUUUUUAUCACCAUGCUUUCUUCCAAAUCUCUUGUCUAUGCCACAACUCUUUUCCAUUUACUGAUGAGCUUUUGGAAAUUUAAAAAUUGAGAAUAGACUAAGUUUUCUCUGCUCUCUCCCCUCACCUCUAUUCCCUCAGUCCUUGAGCACAAAAUGUUAUAUCUUGUGCAGUUAAAUAAAGUAAAAAAAGUAAAACCUGGGGAUUGUGAGGGGGUUGAAACAUGCUGAGAAAAACCAGUCAAUUGAUAUUGAAAACACGCCAUCCACUGCAGUUGUAAAACAACUGGACACAUUCCUUUAGUUUUGACUCUAGUCUCCAAGCCGAAAGGUGGCUGGGGAAAGAAAGUGGAGGGACAGGCGGGGCUGGCUUCGGGGUGGAAAUCCGUAGACACAGAGACCUGCCCUCAGGAGUGCCUGGAGCUGGGUCUUGUGCUCUGCGGUGGAUGGGUUGAGAUUUUCAGUGAUUUUAUCUUUGAACUUGUGUUUUGUGAGUGAAGUUGGUGGGACAGAGGAGCAUGUUUCUGAGCAUAGGAGGUAGGAUGACGGCUGUGUCCUGCACUUCUAGCCUCCUCAUCUGCAUGGAGCAUUCAGGGUGCCCGUGAGCCCAGCAUUACCCAGGACAAUGUGAGAGAGGGCAGUGAAUACAAGCAAAGCGAGUGACAUCUGCCACUCAGUAAAAAAGGGCAUGGGCCACCCACAGAGGCCACAUGCUCCCCGCACACCAGAACUUGCACCAGAUGCAGAAAGAAGGCAAUGUUGUUCUAAGAAACAUGAACAACCAGGAACCUCAGCAUAUCCUUCCACACCCCUAUUACUUCCCAGGGUCAGCCAACCACUUACGCUGAGAAUGGUGACAUAGAAGGAAAGGAACAGAUAGGGUAACCCAUAGUUCCUUGUCUUUUCAGCCCUUCCUUACUCAUCAGUUAGCCAGAGGAAGGAGUGUUGGUAGAAUGUGUGUGCAUCAAGAAGCAAAAUAAAAGCAGUUGCGUUUAUUUUGUGCAGGAUUUCCACCCUUCUGUGAAGAACAAAAUCCAUAUGCCUAUACCAGUUUUGAGAUUGAGUUGUGUCAUUCUGGUGGGUCCACAUAUGAGUGAUUCAAAGCUAGCAUUGCAAACUCUAAAGAUAAAUGGUAAAAUUCAUCCUGAUGAUUAAAAUUUCAAAUACUUCUUUACCUAGGGCAGCAUUAAAUAGGAAAUAAAAACACCAUGACAAGCCAAGAGAGAGACCCCAGAAGAAAGAAAAAUUCUUUCUAUUUUAGUAUCUUUAACAGUGCUUUUCUUUAUGCUUUUUGACCAAAAGGUCCUAUAUUUUCCUUUUGCACUAAGGUUGCAAAUUCUAUAGCCAGCCCUGGGAACAGCUGUGCAGUAACUGGAUGACCCUGUGGGGCAAAUGCCAAUGAUUUCCUUCCCUGCCUCCUGCCCUGACACAGUAGCGCCACACAAACCCCCCAAACUGAAAUAAAACCUUAGGGCAAAAGGAAGGACCCUCAAUUUGAAAGAGAUCAUUUCUGAAACAUAGGCGUAUUAGUAUACUAGGGCUGCCACAGCAGAGUCUUACAGACUGAGUGGCUCAGACAACAGAACUUUAUUUUCCCACAGUUCAGGAAUCUGGAAGUCCAAAAUCAAGGUGUUGGCUGGGUUGAUUUCUCUCUCUCUCUUUCUUUCUUUCUUUCUUUCUUUCUUUCUUUCUUUCUUUCUUUCUUUCUUUCUUUCUUUCUUUCUUUCUUUCUCUUUCUUUCUUUCUUUCUUUCUUUCUUUCUUUCUUUCUUUCUUUCUUUCUCUCUCUCUCUCUUUCUUUCUCUCCCUCUCUCUUCCUUCCUUCCUUCCUUGCUUUCUUUCUUUUCUCUCUUUCUCUCUUUCUUUCUGUUUUUUUUUUUUUUUUGAUGGAGUCUGGCUCUGUCACCCAGGCUGGAGUGCAGUGGCACAAUCUCGGCUCACUGUAACCUCUGCCUCCCGAGUUCAAACAAUUCUCCUCCCUCAGCUCCCAAGUAGCUGGGAUUACAGGUGCCCACCUCCAUGCCUGGCUAAUCUUUGUAUUUUUAGUGGAGACAGGGUUUCGCCAUGUUGGCCAGAUUGGUCUCAAACUCCUGACCUCAGGUGAUCUGCCCGCCUCGGCCUCCCAAAGUGCUGGGAUUACAGGUGUGAGCCCCCAUACCCGGCCUCUGGGUUGAUUUCUUCUGAGGCCUCUCUUGACCUGCAGAGCACUGUCUUCUCCCUGUGUCUUCACAUGGUCGCAGCUCUGUGUGUAUCUGUGUUCUAACUGCUUCAUCUCAUAAAUACAUAGGUCAUAUUCGAUUAGUACCCACCCUAAUAACCCUGUUUUAAUUGAAUUACUUCCUUAAUGAUUCUAUCUCCCAAUUCAGUCAGAUUCUGAGGUCUUACAGGUUAGGACUUCAACAUAUAAAUUUUGGGGGGACACAAUGCACCCCAUAAUAAUAGGCAAAAUUGCAUUUGAAACAGAAAUUUAGACACAUUUCAGAAAACUAAAAUUAUAUUUCUUGUGCACCUUAGUAGAUAGACAUAUGGUGAGCCAUCCUUUGCACUUCCAUGUAACUCCACAUAUCCACAAUCAAAACAACUCCCAAGGCUCCCUAGUGUGGGAUUUGGCCCCUUUAUGUUCAGUAGCAACAUAAACCUCCCUGGGGCUUUUGUUUUGUUCUAGCAGAAAAUUAACAGGAAGAGGAAUUGAGCAUUUGGGCAUCUCGUUGGUGUUUGUUCUUAAUCAUACUCUACUCAAUCAUUCAAACCUAAUUAAGCUCUUGGCAUCAUAGAGCAGGGAUAAGUUUAAUUACAUGUCAUUGGCCGCCAGUGUGCCUUUCUUAUUUUUGUUACUAUUUAUGUUACUUUUAGAUACAAGAGACAGGCUUCUUUUAAAAUCCAUAAUUUAUCAAAUAAAAGACACUUGUUGAGCACCUUCUAUGCCCAACACACUAUUAAUUGGCAAAAUUAACCAUUUUGCCAUUUCCUUUGAAGAGAAAGUAUAACUUCGUUUUGUCUUCCUUGAGAAAAUUUCUCCAGGGAGAAUCCUAAAAGUUCAGAAAGGGUUCCAAAGAAAUCCACUGGCAGCUGGCUGAAUCAUUCUUCACAGUAGAGCAGAAUCAUUUUAAAACAGGUUAAUCUUGAAUAUCCAGGCAAAGAGACUGUUUUAAAGUCAUCUCAAACCAUGGGUUCCAUUAUUAUGAGGAAUAGUAGUUGUAAUCUCAAUAGCUACUGUUAAGAACGACUCUGCUUAUUGAAAGCUGCUGAGCUCCCACUGGCAUUAUCUCAUCAUCCUUAGGACAGCCCACUGGGGACACAUUAUUUUCAUCUUCGUCUUAUGGACGAGCACUAAGCCUUGGUGAGAAGUCACACAACUCUCCCAAGGGCCUGGAGCUAUUGAGAGGGCAGCUGGAAUCUCCGUCCAUUCUGAUUCCAGUGCCUGUGUUUGCAAACACUGGGCGACACUGGCCUUUCAAUGUGUGGGACUGCUGAUGGAGGCAGAGGUGAGACAGCAAAGUCACCUGGUCCACCCCCUUCCUCAAGAUGAUCUCAGCACAGCCUGCAGUGACUGCCUCGGAUGGGAAUGACAGCCAAAUGCUGUAGAGGGCGUAUUUCAGGGAGUGGAUAUGGUGGUAAAGGUAUGCUAAAAACUCACAUUGUGGACGGAGGGAAACGAGGCUUGGGGUCUAUAUUGCAGUGGUCUCCAAACAUUUUUUAUUGUGUAUCUCUCUUUCCAAAAAACAAUUUUUAUUCAGAACAUAUGACCAAUGUAAGUAUAUCU
rnacentral:lncRNA from 1 species